GGUUUUUCAUGCAUUGUUCGGUAUCGAUAUGGUGCUCCUGGGGGAGCUCGGGACCACCAGGUCGUCUAAGGAGGGGUGAACCGGCCCAGGUCGGAGACGGAGCAGGUCAAAGCCCCCGUGCCGAUCAGUAGUGGGGUCGCACC
rnacentral:sRNA from 1 species